GAUGAACGCUGGCGGCGUGCUUAACACAUGCAAGUCGAACGAUAAAGCCCAGCUUGCUGGGUGGAUUAGUGGCGAACGGGUGAGUAACACGUGAGUAACCUGCCCUUGACUCUGGGAUAAGCCCGGGAAACUGGGUCUAAUACGGAUAGGAGCGCCUGUCGCAUGACGGGUGUUGGAAAGAUUUUUCGGUCAUGGAUGGACUCGCGGCCUAUCAGCUUGUUGGUGAGGUAAUGGCUCACCAAGGCGACGACGGGUAGCCGGCCUGAGAGGGUGACCGGCCACACUGGGACUGAGACACGGCCCAGACUCCUACGGGAGGCAGCAGUGGGGAAUAUUGCACAAUGGGCGGAAGCCUGAUGCAGCGACGCCGCGUGAGGGAUGACGGCCUUCGGGUUGUAAACCUCUUUCAGUAGGGAAAGAAAGCGAAAA
rnacentral:rRNA from 1 species